CAUUAACGAAAGCUCGAGCGAGUUGUGGCUGGCCC
rnacentral:rRNA from 1 species